rnacentral:rRNA from 1 species
GAUCAUGGCUCAGGAUGAACGCUGGCGGCGUGCCUAACACAUGCAAGUCGAGCGAAGCGGUUUUAAGGAAGUUUUCGGAUGGAAUUAAAACUGACUGAGCGGCGGACGGGUGAGUAACGCGUGGGUAACCUGCCUCAUACAGGGGGGAUAACAGUUAGAAAUGGCUGCUAAUACCGCAUAAGCACACAGCUUCGCGUGGAGCAGUGUGAAAAACUCCGGUGGUAUGAGAUGGACCCGCGU